GCGAGAGUGGCGGAACUGGUAGACGCACCGGCCUUAGGAGCCGGCGGCUGCGGCCAUAGGGGUUCGACUCCCCUCUCUCGCA
rnacentral:tRNA from 1 species